CAAUCUCCAUCUUCCACUAUUGGAUCGAGAAAUGGACGUCCGAGAUUCGUCCACGUCACCAUGAGUUAAAAUUUAACUCUCAGUAAAUUGUAACUCAUGGGUGAAUCUGCGAGUUAAAUUUUAACUCAUGGUGACGUGGACGAAUCUCGGACGUCCAUUUCUCGAUCCAACGGUGGAAGAUGGAGAUUG
rnacentral:pre_miRNA from 1 species